rnacentral:rRNA from 1 species
UACAGAGGGUGCAAGCGUUGCUCGGAAUCAUUGGGCGUAAAGGGUAGGUAGGUGGUCUCGUUUGUCUGGGGUGAAAGCCCAGGGCUUAACCCUGGAAGUGCCCCAGAAACGGCGAGACUAGAGUCUUGGAGAGGGUCGUGGAAUUCCCGGUGUAGCGGUGAAAUGCGCAGAUAUCAGGAGGAACACCGGUGGCGAAGGCGGUUCUCUGGGCAUGAUCUGACGCUGAGGAGCGAAAGUGUGGGGAGCGAACAGG